UACGGAGGGAGCAAGCGUUAUCCGGAAUUACUGGGUUUAAAGGGUGCGUAGGCGGCUGUAUAAGUCAGAGGUGAAAGGUUGUCGCUUAACGAUAGAAUUGCCUUUGAUACUGUAUAGCUUGAAACUAGGUGAGGUUGGCGGAAUGUGACAUGUAGCGGUGAAAUGCGUAGAUAUGUCAUAGAACACCGAUUGCGAAGGCAGCUGGCUAACCUAAGUUUGACGCUGAGGUACGAAAGCGUGGGUAGCAAACAGG
rnacentral:rRNA from 1 species